rnacentral:lncRNA from 1 species
GAUCUUGAUAUUGGAUCCAUACCCAUAUCGAUAAAAAAUCAGAUCAGGUCGGAUCGGAUCCAUGGCUGAAUUUAAUGAUCCAUUGGAUCAUUUGGGUUGGGUCGGGUCUAUAUAUAAUCUGGCUCCAAUCCAUAAAAUGCGGGUCAGAUUCGGAUUCGAUUCAGAUCGGAUCGGAUCACAGAUUUAAUUUAUUUGAAACCUACCAUCAGUGAAUACUAAUGCUUGAUGACAACUAAGGAAGGCCUCUUUUCUUAUAUUGCUGAAGGGACGGAUUAUAUAUUGAUAGAUCGGGAAGAGAGAAUUCACCAAAAAAAAAGCAAGGAAGGAAGAAAUUUCAAGCAUCGUAGUACAUG